rnacentral:rRNA from 1 species
UUGAUGAAUUCAUAGUCAAACGAGGCGAACCGGGGAAACUGAAACAUCGCGGUACCCCGAGAAAAAGAAAUCAACCGAGAUUCCCCCAGUAGUGGCGAGCGAACGGGGAGCAGCCCAGAGUCAACAUCAAUAUUUACCACAGGAGAAGGGUCUGGAAAAGCCGGCAAUAAAGGGUGAUAGCCCCGUAUCUAAAGCGGUAAGUGUUGUGAACUCGAAGAGUAGGGCGGGACACGUGUUAUCCUGUCUGAAUAUGGGGGGACCAUCCUCCAAGGCUAAAUACUCCUGACUGACCGAUAGUGAACCAGUACCGUGAGGGAAAGGCGAAAAGAACCCCGGCGAGGGGAGUGAAAUAGAACCUAAAACCGUGUACGUACAAGCAGUAGGAGCACCCGAAAGGGUGUGACUGCGUACCUUUUGUAUAAUGAGUCAGCGACUUAUAUUCUGUAGCAAGGUUAACCGCAUAGGGGAGCCGUCGGGAAACCGAGUCUUAACUGGGCGUUAAUGUUGCAGGGUAUAGACCGGAGGCCCGGUGAUCUAUCCAUCAGCAGGUUGAAGGUUGGGUAACACUAACUGGAGGACC